rnacentral:rRNA from 1 species
ACACGUAGGGGCCUGACGUUGUUCGGAAUCAUUGGGCGUAAAGGGCGCGCAGGCGGCCGUCCAAGUCCGGUGUUAAAGCGUGGGGCUCAACCCCAUAAAGCCUUGGAAACUGAUUGACUAGAGUACGGGAGAAGUGAAGGGAACUCCAUGUGUAGCGGUGAAAUGCGUAGAUAUAUGGAAGAACACCAGUGGCGAAGGCGCUUCACUAGCCCGAAACUGACGCUCAGUCACGAAAGCGUGGGUAGCAAAUAGGAUUAGAUACCCUAGUAGUCCACGCUGUAAACGAUGACAACUAAAUAUUGCCGCGAGGCAGUGUUGAAGCUAACGCAUUAAGUUGUCCGCCUGGGGAGUACGGUCGCAAGACUGAAACUUAAAGGAAUUGACGGGG